rnacentral:lncRNA from 1 species
UCUUUCUACUAUUUUUUGACUUAAAGAUUGUUUUAGGAAACAGCUGGAGAUGAAGCAUGGCUGUCAUUGCAUUUCUCUUACUGUGAUUGUUCAGAAUGCUCCGACAGAGCUACCAAGGAGGAGGAAUGGCACAACAUGAUGACAAGAUUAAUUAGCAUCUGCAAGACUGGACAUGGCUCCCCAAGGGAUUCUUCCCAUGCUCUGCCAUGGCUGCCUCUGGUACCCUCCCCCUGCCUUGAGAUGUCACCUCUGAUGUGUCUGGGUCCCCAGCUGGCUUACAAGCUCUUGUGACAUCAGUGGCACAUUUUGUGGCACUGCAUUUAGAAAACUGUAAAGCUGGUAUAUGCACUAGAGAUCUGUCCUUCAUUUUCUUCAUUUUGUAUUUAAUGCUGUCCUAACUCCACAAAAUAG